GACGAACGCUGGCGGCGUGCUUAAUACAUGCAAGUCGAACGGAAAGGCCCUGCUCUUGUGGGGUGCUCGAGUGGCGAACGGGUGAGUAACACGCGAGUAACCUGCCCUUGACUUUGGGAUAACUCCAGGAAACUGGGGCUAAUACCGGAUAGGAUCUCCUGCUGCAUGGUGGGGGUUGGAAAGUUUCGGCGGUUGGGGAUGGAAUCGCGGCUUAUCAGCUUGUUGGUGGGGUAGUGGCUUACCAAGCGUUUGACGGGUAGCCGGCCUGGGAGGGUGACCGGCCACAUGGGGACUGAGAUACGGCCCAGACGGCUACGGGAGGCAGCGGUGGGGAGUAUUGCGCAAUGGGCGGGAGCCUGAGACAGCGACGCCGCGUGCGGGAUGACGGCCUUCUGGUUGUAAACCGCUUUCGCCUGUGACGAGGCGGUAGUGACGGUAAUGGGUAAGGAAGCACCGGCUAACUACGUG
rnacentral:rRNA from 1 species